rnacentral:rRNA from 1 species
AUUGAACGCUGGCGGCAGGCCUAACACAUGCAAGUCGAACGGUAGCAGGGAUCCGCUUCCUGAUUCGCUCACGAGUGGCGGACGGGAGAGUAAUGUCUGGGCAACUUCCUGAUGGAUGGGGUUAACUACUGGACACGGUAGCUACUACCGCAUAACGUCGCAAGACCAGAGAGGUGGACAUUCGGGCCUCUUGCCUUCGGCUGUGUCCAGAUGGGAUUAGCUAGUGGGUGGGGUAACGGCUCACCAAGGCGACGAUCUCUAGCUGGUCUGAGAGGAUGACCAGCCACACUGGAACUGAGACACGGUCCAGACUCCUACGGGAGGCAGCAGUGGGGAAUAUUGCACAAUGGGCGCAAGCCUGAUGCAGCCAUGCCGCGUGUAUGAAGAAGGCCUUCGGGUUGUAAAGUACUUUCAGCUGGGAGGAAGGGAGUUAAGUUAAUACCUUGCCGCAUUGACGUUACCCGCAGAAGAAGCACCGGCUAACUCCGUG